GAAAUGCGAUAAGUAAUGUGAAUUGCAGAAUUCCGCGAAUCAUCGAAUCUUUGAACGCACAUUGCGCUCCCUGGUAUUCCGGAGAGCAUGCCUGUCUGAGAACCAACAAAACAUCACAGCCUGUCUGUGGAAUUGGGUCAUCUGAGCCUGGCUCAGCGACCAGAAAUUCAUGGGUCGGUCGAGCUCACUAGGGCCUCGCUCCGAAAGCGUAUUCUAUGACGGGAAACCUCAUUGCGCUGAUAACGAGCGUCGUCUCGAACGUGUUCGGACGGUCAAACACAAACGCAAGGGAUCCUCGGAUCUCUGAACCUUGGUCUCAGAUCAGACAAGACUACCCGCUGAACUUAA
rnacentral:misc_RNA from 1 species